GCUCAGGAUUGCGCCCUGGUGCGUUAUAAAAAGCCAGAGCUUUCCUGACGCACCUCAAAACAGCUCAGACAGUGCGUCAAAGAGCACAGAGACUCAACUGGGGCACAAAGCCAGCUGCACGCUCACCAGACAGGCCUGAGGCACAGAGCCGGCUGCGCAUUCACCAGACAGAACCGGGGCACAAAGCCGGCUGCGCAUUCACCAGACAGAGCCGUUUACCUGACAGACAGGCUGCCGAUGCUGUCUGGGGUCACCACCCGCGAAAUGAAACCCAGGAGACUGCUUCUGUCAGUGGAGCCCCUACCCACAAUCAGCGAGACGCAGGAGGACGCCCCCACACAGGGGUCCUGCCACGGCCAGCCCGCCCAGUCCAUGGAGGACUACGUGGACUCCAUCAAAGAGCUGGCAAGACCCAGUUUCGGGCCGCUAAGGGUCCCACGGUCACAGAGACCCCGUCUCUUCAUCAAGGCCCCGGCCCGGCCCGCCCCCAGAGCAUACCGGCCCCGUGGCACGUCCUGCGAGGCGGCACUCAGGACGUCCCAGCAGAGGGACUGCACCAGGGACCCACUGGACUGGCUGUUUGCGCAGACGCAGCGAGAUGACAACGGUCCUGCCGCUUUAUGCCUGCUCUGAAGGACAUGGGGCUGCCCGGACAGUCUGCGCAGACGCAGAGGCGGACAUCUGUUCUGAAGGACUGCAACUGCAGAAAUAAGUUAUUACUGAGUUAUUUCAGAGGGUCUUGCUGUGCAGGGCUAAUGUUUACAGCCAGAAGAAUAUUAAUGAUUUUUGUAAUAAAAUGUGAAAUACUGCAACUGCUCAUCUGAGGCACUUUGUAAAAUGUACAAGGUUUAAACCAUCUGCUAAACACUUCUGGUGUUUAAACAGUGUUUACAGACAAAGCAAAUUAACUCACAGCACUGUUGUGUUAUUGGACGGAAACGCACUUCCCCUGAUUUAACUCUCGCAUCGCCAAACCCCUUUCCAAGUUCCUCUGCGUGGAUUUUCUCCUCCCCCUACAUCUUCAAGACCCAAAGCUGCUGGUUUCCCAUCACUAAUCUGAUCCAGGUGCAUAUAAGAGAGCCACCUGAAACUGUCAGGCCAGGUCCAUCUGGACAUAAAACCCUGGGGGAAAAGCCCUUUUGGGAAAGAAUCCAGUUAUUAUGCUAACUGAUGGCCAGGCAAAGCCAGCAGCUCAGCCAACAAAGACGAGGAAUGGAUCUGGUGGUGCCUGUUUGCUGACUUGGGGAUUUCAGUUCCCUUCAGUUCCGAUUCAGAUCCCCACCAGCUGAGGUUCCUGGUCAGCUCAGUCACCUGAUAUUUGAGACAAUCCCUAUUGGCUAAAACAUACAGAAAAAAAAAGAAUCAGAUUACCACCAUCAACUGCCACCCUGUUCCUUACAACGAAGUAGAAAUGACAGACCCACAAACAAGUCCAGUUUCUCUAAGGUGCAGCUACUAGGGUGGUUGAUUAAUUUACGUUUCAAAUGUCACAGCUAUUAUAGAGACACACAUGCACAUGGAAUUUCUGCACACUGCUAGAAGAACAGUUGAAAAUAACUUUUCGAACAGCUCUCAGUGCUACAGGUGCAUCAGCCCAGAACCAACAGAGAUCUUAACAGCUUCUUUCACAGAUGUCCUACUUAGACAACCUCCUUAAAUCAACAUGGCACAGGGCCUGGAACACACAGGAAGCCCCCCCCCAACAUAAUGCCACCUGAAUUUAUAUACCAUAUCAAAGGCAUUAGUCUAGAACCAGUCUGACCAGAUAUCUUAACUGAUUUAACCAGAACUGAGUGUCUUGUAGUCAGACAAUGUACCAUGUGGUUUUGGAUCAGUGCCAAACAAUCGUAUGCGUGUACAUAUCUGCCUAAAUAAAGGGAGUCUGAUUACAACAUA